AUGUAUGGUAACCUCAGGAGCUCACAAAGGGUCUCAUUAGAGUCUAAGGUGCUUUGUGUGCUGUUGUUUUAUGCCAAUUGAGACUACCAAAGGGUGAUUGGCGUACGUAGCCAAUCAUCUAUCUCAAGAGGCAACAAGCCGCUACAUUGAAGAAGUUACUGAGGCAUUGAACCAUCCGGAUGUGGUCCGAAAAUUUAUUAAAUUCCCAAGCACUCCAGAAGCCAGGGAACAAAUAAAACAAGGUUUCUACAAUUUAUACAAAAUUCCCGGUGUGGUUGGGUGCAUAGAUGGCUGCCACUUUAGGAUUUUCAAACCCCAAAGAGAAAGUGAGCACCUGUAUUAUUGUAGGAAGCACUAUCAUUCCCUGAAUGUACAAAUGGUGUGUGAUCAUGAAUGCCGGAUCCUCAGCAUCAACCCCAAGUUUGGAGGCGCAAGUCAUGAUGCUUUUGUGUGGGAAAACAGCCAGAUCAACACGCUAAUGCAAACAUUGCACCGGAAUGGUGAAUCAAGUUGGCUUCUUGGUGACUCUGGAUACCCACAAAGGCCAUGGCUUAUGACUCCUUACAACAACCCUGCACCUGGUUCUGCAGCAGAAUCAUACAAUGCUGCCCACAGCAGAGCUCGGGUGCUCAUAGAAAAUACUUUUGGGCGUCUGAAAAACCGAUGGAGAUGUGUGUGCAAGGAUCGUGUACCUAUUGCACUAUAUGCCGGACAAAUGUGCAAAAAUUAUCACGGCUUGCAGUGUUUUGCACAACAUUUCAAUUGAGUUUAAAGUGCCUUGUCCCGAAAAUCAAAUGAAUGGUUAAUAUUAUUUAAUAAUUGUAUAAUAUUUAGCAAGUAUCAGAAAACUCAGGUAACUCAUUAACAAAUAUUUUUCCAUUCUUUACAGUAAUUGAAGAAUUUCAUCGGAUUGAGAUACCGCGGCAAGAAGACCGAACCCUACUAACACUAGGACGUUUAGUCCGAGAUCGUUUGGCCAACGCUAUUCAUGGAGCAGCUGUGUGAGGCUUCGUUAAUAUACUAUUUUAUAAAAUC